GCGUUAUUACAAUUAUAGAAGGAUGAAAAUAGAUGGGAAGUUCAAUUGUUUUAAAGUUACUAAAAGUAACACACUACUAUAGGAAUAAACAGAAUAAGAAAUGGUAUUUACCUUUUGGAUAUGAUGCUGAAGAUAUCGAUUUAAACAAUAUUAGUUUACAUAUUUAUCAAGGAGAAGCAUUAGGUAUAAUUGGUGAACCUGAAUCUUCCAAAGCGUUGGUAGGUCAAUUGUUGGCAGGUGCAAUUAAACCUGAUAAAGGUAAAGUAGUUUGUACUGAAGAUUUGUUCUACGGAUAUAUUGAAGAUC
rnacentral:sRNA from 1 species